UACUCGAGUGGCGAACGGGUGAGUAACACGUGGGUGAUCUGCCCUGCACUUCGGGAUAAGCCUGGGAAACUGGGUCUAAUACCGGAUAGGAGCUCCUGCUGCAUGGUGGGGGUUGGAAAGUUUCGGCGGUUGGGGAUGGACUCGCGGCUUAUCAGCUUGUUGGUGGGGUAGUGGCUUACCAAGGCUUUGACGGGUAGCCGGCCUGAGAGGGUGACCGGCCACAUUGGGACUGAGAUACGGCCCAG
rnacentral:rRNA from 1 species